rnacentral:tRNA from 1 species
GCCGGGUUAGCUCAGUUGGUAGAGCACGGGUCUUGUAAACCCGGUGUCACCGGUUCGAGUCCGGUACCCGGCUCGA